AUAACAUUAGGACGGUCAGUAUACCGAGCAAUUUCACCCGCUCGGUGAAAGAUUUUUCUUGUGUCGU
rnacentral:pre_miRNA from 1 species